GUAGCAUAAUUAUUAGUUUUUUAAUUGAAAGCUUGUAUGAAGGGUUGGACGAGAUAAAAUCUGUCUUUAUUUAAAUUACAAUAGAAUUUAACUUUUAAGUCAAAAGGCUUAAAUGUAUAUAAAAGACGAGAAGACCCUAUAGAUCUUUAUUUAAUUAAUAUUUUGAUAAUUUAAGAUUAUUUUAGUUUAAAGUUUUAAUUAAAUUUUAUUGGGGUAAUAUAAAGAUUAAAUAAAUUCUUUUUAUUUAUUACAUUGAUUUAUGAAUAUAUGAUCCAAUAUUAUUGAUUAUAAGAUUAAGUUACCUUAGGGAUAACAGCGUAAUUUUUUUGGAGAGCUCAUAUCGAUAAAAAAGUUUGCGACCUCGAUGUUGGAUUAAAAAUUAGCUUGGGUGCAGAAGCUCAAGAUUUUGGUCUGUUCGACCAUUAAAUUUUUACAUGAUCUGAGUUCAGACCGGCGUAAGCCAGGUCGGUUUCUAUCUUUAUUUAUCUAAAAUAUUUUAGUACGAAAGGACCAAAUAUUUAAUAUAAUUAUAUUUAUUUUUUGAAUAAUAUU
rnacentral:rRNA from 1 species